rnacentral:RNase_P_RNA from 1 species
UGAGCAAGACGGUCGGUCGCUUGCCGACUUCGAGAGCGGCAAGAGGAAAGUCCGGGCAAUACAGGGCGCCAUGGUUGUUAACGGCAACCCGUCAGUGAUGGCAGAGUCGCGUGACAGAAAAUAACCGCCUUCCGUUUCGGGAGGUAAGGGUGAAAAGGCGGGGUAAGAGCCCACCGGGUUCCACAGCGAUAUGGAAUGCCGCACGCCUCAUGGAUUGCAAGGUCAAGUAUACCGGCAUUUAAGGGCUGCCCGUCCAUUGCCGGGGGGUAGACUGCUCAAGCCCGGUGGCGACAUCGGGAUUAGAUAAAUGACCGACCGCGUCAGUGAUUGCCACUGGCGCGACAUAACCCGGCUUACAGUCAUGCUCAACCC